rnacentral:lncRNA from 1 species
UAUUUUAGUUCCCAAAUUUUUAUUUAUUACAAUUUUUGCUUCAAACUUUUAGAAUUAUUGUAAUUAAAUUCUACAAUCUAAUUUAAUUGACCAAACAUUAACAAAUUAUUUACGUAGAAGUGAUGUUACUAUGAUUUGUCAAUAAUUAAUGUACUAAUUCAUUUCUAUAUAAACAAUUUGUCAAUAUUUAAUUAACUAAAUUGUGUUGUCAGAUUUGAUUGUAAUAAUUCACAAAGUUUUUGCCAAAAAUGACAAUAAAUUAUAGUUUGUGUACCAAAGUGUCACGUUCCCCGUAGUUUAGGGACCAAAAGUGUAAUUUAUUCUAAUAAAAUCUAUCAAGAAGAAAUAUCAACUUGGCUUUGUGGGCUCUAACUUCUUGAUGAGCUUAAGCACAAGUUUAUGAUUACUUGGUCAUGUAUGAUGAUGCUACAUAAAAUUUCUAUGCACUUACCAACCGUCCCUAACAUAAGUAAAAAAGGAUUUGAUAAUUGAUACCCAAGAUCUCAAAUUCGAAUCCUAAUUAAUUCGUAUUUCCAGUUAAGUUUAUUUCUAAAAAGGAAUAAACAAAAUGGGUAGUAUGUUAUUUUUCUCUCAAAAAAGAAAACGAAAAAAAAUAUUCUGUGCACUUUUGUCUUGAUUCUAAGAUAGUAGAUGAGGAUUUACCAAAGUGCUUUUAUGGUUCACGGAUUUAAAUUUUCAGUAAAAAUUUAAUUUCUGAAAAAUCUAUUUUCAUGAUAGAAUUUGCCUUGUAUUUGUCACGCCCCGGAUUAUUCGUUUCUCCGGGCACGCCGACAAAUCCACUGUAUACAAAAGAAUUUUGCAUGUAUACGAAGCGACAGCUGUACUUGUAAUCAAACAAUACUACAGCUAGUAGUAUAGAGCUGUUAGGAAAAAUAAAACAUAUCCAGAUAGAAAAUAGA